AUGCUUUCUCAGUCUCUGCUCGCGCUUGGUUUGCUCCUCCUGCUGAGCCUGAGCCUCGACGGAGAGGUGGCUCUAGCGGCGGAAGACGGCGAGUUCGCCUACCAAGGCUUCGCCACAGCGAACCUUACGCUGGAUGGCCUCGCCACCGUCAUGCCCAACGGCCUCCUGCUGCUCACCGACACGGAGUCCGCGAACACGGGCCAUGCCUUCCACCCCGCGCCACUCCAGUUCCUCGAAAGUUCCACCACGACGACGAAUAGCACCACCAUGGCGCGGUCCUUCUCCGUGACCUUCGUGUUUGCCAUUUCGUCCAGGUAUGAUGGCCUGACCAGCUACGGGCUUGGGUUCGUGGUCGCUCCGACCUCGAACCUCUCGGCUGCGAACGGCGGGCGAUACAUGGGCCUCCUCAACGCGACAAACGGCACGGCGAGCGACCGCAUCCUGGCGGUCGAGCUCGACACCAUCAUGGACGUCGCGUUCCGCGACAUCGACAGCAACCACGUCGGCAUCGACGUCAACAGCCUCGUCUCACGGCAGGCCAAGCCGGCUGGGUACUACAGCAACGAGAACGGCGCCUUCCAAGAUCUGAGGUUGAACAGCCGCAGGCCGAUGCAGGUGUGGGUGGACUACGACGCCCAAGCCAGGUGAAUCAAUGUGACAUUAGCACCUGUGCAGGUACCAAGGCCCAGGAAUCCUCUGCUCUCCGAGGUUAUUGAUCUCUCCACGGUCAUGGUGGACGAAAUGUACGUCGGCUUUUCUGCUUCUAGCGGUACUCUCGGUGACAAUCACCACUCUGUCCUUGGAUGGAGUUUCAGCUUCGACGGACCCGCCCCGACGCUUGACUUCUUCAAGCUUCCCGCCCUGCCACGCCUAGGUCCCAAGCCUCGGUCCAAGAUCUUGAACAUCGUGUUGCCACCAACUUGGGUAUCGCUUGUCAUUGCCGUGCUAGCUGCCGUAUUCUUCUUCUUGUGGCAUCGGCGCUGAUUUGCUGAGGUGAGAGAAGACUGGGAGGAUGAGUUCGGCCCACAUCGUUUUGCAUACAAGGAUUUAUUUCAUGCCACCGAGGGGUUUUCUAGUAGGAAUUUACUUGGAGUGGGAGGAUUUGGAAGAGUGUGCAGAGGAUUGCUUUCCACAUCCAAUUUGGAGGUUGCCGUCAAGAGGGUGUCACAUGAUUCGAAACAAGGGCUAAGGGAGUUCAUUGCGGAGGUGGUGAGCAUUGGCCGUCUCCACCACCGGAAUCUCGCCCGGUUACUAGGCUACUGCCGUCGAAAGGGUGAACUUCUCUUGGUUUAUGAGUACAUGGAAAAUGGUAGUCUUGACAAGUAUUUGUAUACUCAAAAUAAGCCGGCUCUACAUUGGUCUGAGAGGUAUCGGAUCAUCAAAGGUGUUGCAUCAAGCUUGUUGUAUCUUCAUGAGGAAUGGGAGCAAAUUGUCAUCCAUCGAGAUAUAAAGGCUAGCAAUGUGCUCUUGGACAGCCAGAUGAAUGGACGGCUCGGUGAUUUUGGUCUAGCAAGGUUAUACGACCAUGACACAGUUUCUAAAACAACACAUGUGGUGGGCACUAUGGGGUACCUUGCACCGGAACUUAUACGCACCGGGAAGGCAACACCCUUAACCGAUGUGUUUGCAUUUGGUGUGUUUCUCCUUGAGGUCGCAUGUGGGCGUAGGCCAAUCAAAGAGAACACACAAACAAUGUUGAUCGAAUGGGUGCUUGAACACCACCGCAAUGGAUCAUUUAUUGAUGUGGCAGAUCCAUGGCUCAUGGGCAAUUUCAACAUAGAGGAAGCCACCCUCGUGCUCAACUUAGGAUUAUUGUGCUCCCACCCAUCAUCAAGUGCAAGGCCUAGCAUGCGAAAGGUCGUGCAAUACCUGGACCGUGGUCAGUCAAUUCCUGACCUGUCUCCAACCUAUGUGAGUUACAACAUGAUAGCGAUGAUGCAUAAAGAAGGGUCUGAUUCAUACAAAAUGGCGUGCACUUUGUCGAAUACUAGCAUUUGCUUUGUAUCUGAAUGUAUAAAGGGUAGUAUAGACUUUUCACAAAUUGUACUCACUUUUCUAUGUAUACAAUGUGUGGCCUUGGCGGCGGAAGACGGCCGGUUCGCCUACCAAGGCUUCGCCACCGCGAACCUCACGCUGGAUGGCGUCGCCGCCGUCACGCCCAACGGCCUCCUGCUGCUCACCGACACGGAGUACCAGACAACAGGCCAUGCCUUCCACCCCGCACCACUCCGCUCCACCGCGACGGCGAACAGCGCCGCCAAUGCGCGGUCCUUCUCCGCGUCCUUCGUGUUCGCCAUUAGCUCCAGAUACGAUGGCCUGACCAGCUACGGGCUUGCGUUCGUCGUCGCGCCGACCUCGAACCUCUCAGCUGCCGAGAGCGGGCGGUACCUGGGCCUCCUCAACGGGACAAACGGCACGGCCAGCGAUCCCAUCUUGGCGGUCGAGCUCGACACCAUCAUGGACGUCGAGUUCCGCGACAUCAACAGCAACCACGUCUGCAUCGGCGUCAACAGCCUCAUCUCACGGCAGGCCAAGCUGGCUGGGUACUGCAGCGACGAGAACGGCACCUUUCAAGAGCUGAGGCUGAACAGCCGCCAACCGAUGCAGGUGUGGGUAGACUAUGAUGCACAGGCCAGACGACUCAACGUGACAUUAGCGUCCGUGCAUGUACCAAGGCCCAAGAUUCCUCUACUCUCCGAAGUCAUUGAUCUCUCCACAGUCAUGGCAGACAAGAUGUACGUUGACUUUUCAGCUUCCGGAGGUUGGGGCGUAGGCACACACCACUAUGUCCUUGGAUGGAGCUUCAGCUUGGAUGGACCCACCCCGCUGCUAGACUUCUCCACGCUUCCUGUCCUACCACGCCUGGGUCCCAAACCUCAGUCAAAGAUCUUGGAUGUCGUGCUGCCACUGGCCGCGGCAUUGCUUGUCAUUGCAAUGCUAGCUAUCAUCUUCUUCUUCUUGUGGCAUCGUCGUCGAUUUGCUGAGGUACGAGAAGAUUGGGAGGACGAGUUCGGCCCACAUUGUUUCGCGUACAAGGAUCUAUUUCAUGCCACUGAGGGGUUUUUUGGUACGAAUUUACUUGGUGUGGGAGGAUUUGGAAGAGUGUACAGAGGAGUGCUUUUUUCGUCCAACUUGAAGGUUGCGGUGAAGAGAGUGUCACAUGAUUCGAAACAAGGAAUAAGGGAGUUCAUUGCUGAGGUGGUGAGCAUUGGUCGUCUCCGCCACCAGAAUCUUGCGCGGUUACUAGGCUAUUGCCGGCGAAAGGGUGAACUUUUCUUGGUUUAUGACUACAUGGAAAAUGGUAGUCUUGACAAAUACUUGUACAAUGGAAACAAGCCAACUCUACAAUGGUCCGAGAGGUAUCGGAUCAUCAAAGUCACUCUCGUGCUCCUACCCAUCAUCCAGUGCAAGGCCUAGCAUGCGGAAGAUCGUGCAAUACCUGGACCGUGCAAUACCUGUCUCCAACUUACGUGAGUUACAACAUGUUAGCAAUGAUGCAGCAUGAAGGGUUCGAUUCGUACAUAAUACCGUCCAAUUCGUCGAAUAGCACUGUGUGUCGUCAGUCUUCGGUGACAAUUCUACAGGAGGGGAGGUGAAGGCUUGCAAGUGACGCCUCUUGUUUUUGUUUCUUGUCUCAUUGUUCCUUUAAGUGCUUGUAAUCCACUUCUGAUGUGAGCUUUCCUUUGAAUAUCUUGUGAACCAGGUAUGCUGGGGGAGCUCUUUUACUAAUGUACGAAACCGAGUUUUCAUAGUGAUAUUUCUAUCUUGUACAUAAGUUUAGUGGUCAUUAGUGAUAUUACCUCAACUUUCCAGUGACAGUCUCUAGCAAGUCGAUCUGCACCCAUGCACAAUUCUCCCAAAUUAAAUGAUUCACCUAGGUACGCUUACUCUAUGCUAGUUAGAGCAUUUCUAACCGAUCCCCUAAAAUUUAGCGGAGUAAAAGGCUUAGUGAAGGGCUUAGUGGAGUAUAUAUAUACUGCACUAGGUUUUGGCUGGACUUAGCCGAUCCCCUAAAUAUAACGAAGUAAAUUUUUGUUUUUUUAAACUUUGCAAUUCUAGUAUAAAUUGCAACUACAUAUUGGCACACAUAUAUAAACUAAACAUAGUUUUCCACUAGUGGUUGUGCUGGAUUGUGUUGAUGUGGGAGCUCUUGUGUUCGAUUCCUGCUGGGAGCAAUUCUUUUUAGAUUUUCCACUGUUUCACUACAAGUCACAAAACUGCAAGUCCACUACGCACGUCGUUUGUUGCUGGGCCAGCCCAGUUUACUGCUCCCUGUACGGUCUGGGUGACGUAUUGUGUUCGAUUCCUGCUGGGAGCAAUUCUUUUUAGAUUUUCCACUGUUUCACUACAAGUCACAAAACUGCAAGUCCACUACGCACGUCGUUUGCUGCUGGGCCAGCCCAGUUUAUUGCUCCCUGUAUGGUCUGGGUGACGUAUUUCGUAAAAGGACCAUCCUGCCCUUUCUUAUGAAGAGGUAUGACCAGAUCUGGUUCGUCGACGUGUCUAAGGGGGUUGUAUCGAAAAAGAAGUGGGCUGGAAUAUUUCUAAAACUGAAAUUCAAAACCAUGUGCAG
rnacentral:rRNA from 1 species